GGAGGAAGUAGGGGAUCGCAAGACCUCACGUUAUAGGAGCGGCCGAUGUCCGAUUAGCUAGUUGGUGGGGUAAAGGCCUACCAAGGCGACGAUCGGUAGCUGGUCUGAGAGGAUGAUCAGCCACACUGGGACUGAGACACGGCCCAGACUCCUACGGGAGGCAGCAGUGGGGAAUUUUGGACAAUGGGCGAAGGCCUGAUCCAGCCAUGCCGCGUGCGGGAAGAAGGCCUUCGGGUUGUAAACCGCUUUAGUCCGGGAAAAAGGGGUGCGAGGAUAAUACCCUUGUGCUUUGAUGGUACUGGAAGAAUAAGCACCGGCUAACUACGUGCCAGCAGCCGCGGUAAUACGUAGGGUGCGAGCGUUAAUCGGAAUUACUGGGCGUAAAGCGUGCGCAGGCGGUCUUGUAAGACAGUCGUGAAAGCCCCGGGCUUAACCUGGGAACUGCGUUUGAAACUACAAAGCUAG
rnacentral:rRNA from 1 species